UUUAAAUGUAAAAAAAAAAAAAUUGCGGGUUGGCGGGUACCCGCGUUUCAAAAUCCACCAACCCGCACCCGCCCCGCAUAAAAUGCUCAUAACCCGCACCCGCACCCGCGAAUCGAUUUUUCUAAAUUGUUCGACCCGCACCCGCCCCGCGGCGGGUCAAACGGGCCGGGUCCCGCGGGUAAAAACUCAUAUUCCAAGGCCUACCGGUGGGGUGGAAUCAACAUAGAACACAGCUGAAGGGGGACUCCGAGCACCUCGUGCAAGCUUGUCCGCCACUAGAUUAGUUGCUCUUGGUAUAUGUUGAAUCUUGAAGGAAGGAAAGAAACUCUUACCAGAAUUUAUUCUCUUAAAAUCUUUAAUCCCAAGUUUUUAAACUUAAACUUUUAACCUUACAUAUACUUCAAACCAUAUAUUCAUACUUAACCUUAUAUCUUAAGACAUUAAGUCAUAUUACAUACUUCAAACUAUUUUUAAAUAUUUUCUAAAUUUUAAACUUAAACCUCAAACUCCAAAUCAUAUAUCAUAAAUUUCAUUUCUAAAUCUAUUUUUCAUUUCUAGAACUAUAUAACAUGUACUCUAAGUGAAGUAAACUUAUAAUUUUAAUAACUUUUUUUUAUCAACAAUAAAACUUAUAAUAAACAUAAAAACUAAAGAAAAAUUAGAAAGUAAAAUUCUAUCCCUGUACGAAAAUGAGAUUAGAAACAAAAAUUCUAAAACAACUAACAUUAAAGAAUAAAAUGUAUUCUGUCAGUUGAGAAAAAAAGUAUAACAACUAAAAAAAUUCCUAUUGGCUGAUUCACAAACACAAGGAUCAAGCUUUUCACCGUCGGAUGAGAUUGGAUCCAAGGGACCAAAGUUAUUCCUUUUCUUCAGAUCUCCAUACAUAGCUUUCUUCACUGCUGGCCUCCGCAUCUCCUCUCUUCUCUUUCGUCAGAAGAUCUCUCCACCCUCGCAAGAUCUCUGCCUUCAUCGCUCUCCAUCUUCUCUACCACCUCCGUUAAUGGUUGAAGAAUUGAAUGAGUGGUAUCUCUGUCUUCCAUCAUUUGAUGUCACGCUCACCGUUCACCACCACUCCACGGAGGGUGGAGGAUGCAGAAAAAGCUUGAUGGUGGAGGAUGCAGAAGAAGCUUGAUGGUGGAGGAGACAAGACCAGCCGUGGUCGCAGUGGCUGUUGUGCGGCGGAGGCAAGGCCACACAUGGCGGCUGGAGGAGGCAAGGCGAGGCAGGCAUUGCCGCUUAUUUUUUUAGGGUUGAAUUUUUUUUAAUGAUUUGGUUUAGUUAUCUAAACCUAAUUUUAUUUUAAACCAAUUUCAUUUUGUAAACCGAGUUAUUUUUAUUUCGAUUUAUAGAGUAACCAAUUGAAACUGAGAUGUUACUACUACUGUCAUACUUUGUGAGGUUUAAUUAUGACAAAUUAAUAACAUAAUGAAGGUUACAAAAUA